rnacentral:misc_RNA from 1 species
GAUGAAGAACGCAGCGAAAUGCGAUAAGUAAUGCGAAUUGCAGAAUUUCCGUGAGUCAUCGAAUCUUUGAACGCGCAUUGCGCCCACUGGUAUUCCGGUGGGCAUGCCUGUUCGAGCGUCAUUAUCCUCCCUCAAACCUCGGGUUUGGUGUUGGACCCAAGUUGUGUGAACAACUGGUCUUAAAGACAAUGACGGCGUCCGUGGGACCCUCGGUGCAACGAGCUUUUAGGAGCACGCGUCGAGUUUCAAGGACCUUCCGGGCCGGUCUCCUUUACCAUUUUACAAGGUUGACCUCGGAUCAGGUAGGAAUACCCGCUGAACUUAAGCAUAUCAAUAAGCGGAGGA